GUUAAAGGGCCGCGGUAUUAUGACCGUGCGAAGGUAGCAUAAUCAUUAGUCUUUUAAUUAAGGGCUGGAAUGAAUGGUUUGACGAAGUGAUAUCUGUCUUAUUAUAAUAAGUGGAAAUUAUCUUUUGAGUUAAAAGACUUAAAUAUAAGUGGAGGACGAGAAGACCCUAUAGAGCUUGAAUAUUUAUUAUUGAUUUUUUUAUUGGACGUGUAAUUAAAUUUUUAUAAAUAAGUAUUAUGUUGGGGUGACAGAAAGAUAGAAUAAACUCUUUUAUAAGAAUAAACAUUGAUUUAUGGUUAUUUGAUCCAUUUUUAGUGAUUAUUAGAAUAAGUUACCUUAGGGAUAACAGCGUAAUUUUCUUUGAGAGUUCUUAUCGACAAGGAAGAUUGCGACCUCGAUGUUGGAUUAAGGAGACUAUUAGGCGCAACAGUUAAGAAAGUAGGUCUGUUCGACCUUUAAAUCCUUACAUGAUCUGA
rnacentral:rRNA from 1 species